rnacentral:ncRNA from 1 species
AAAACCAGUGGCGCGAAGCUACCGUGCGUUGGAUUAUGACUGAACGCCUCUAAGUCAGAAUCCGGGCUAGACCGACGCAUGCGCUCGUCGCCCGUUUGCCGACCCGCAGUAGGGCCAUUUGGCCCCAAGGGCACGUGUCGUUGGCUAAGCCGUCGUGGCGGAAGGGUCACGGUGGCCGCCUUGAAUUACAAUUCCGAUCGAGCGGCGAGCUGAAUCCUUUGCAGACGACUUAAAUACGACGGGGUAUUGUAAGGGUAGAGUGGCCUUGCUGCCACGAUCCUCUGAGAUUCAGCCCUUUGUCGCUCCGAUUCGU